GUUUUCUCUUUGGCAGCACAUAAAUUAAAAUUGGAAUGAUACAGAGAAGAUUAGCAUGGCCCCUGCACAAGGAUGAUGUGCAAAUUCAUAAAGUGUUCCAUAUUUUU
rnacentral:snRNA from 1 species